rnacentral:rRNA from 1 species
UACGGAGGGUGCAAGCGUUGUCCGGAAUCACUGGGCGUAAAGGGCGCGUAGGCGGCUCGGUAAGUAGGGGGUGAAAUCCUGCGGCUUAACCGCAGGGCUGCCUUCUAAACUGUCGAGCUUGAGCACGGUAGAGGCAGAUGGAAUUCCCGGUGUAGCGGUGGAAUGCGUAGAGAUCGGGAAGAACAUCAGUGGCGAAGGCGACUUCCUGGCCUGUUCUUGACGCUGAGGCGCGAAAGCUAGGGGAGCAAACGGG